CCUUGGUUGCGUGAUAACCCCAAAUAAAAAAGGGGGGCAGUGUUUAUUGCACAUAUUUCUCGAAGAUGUGAAUGCAAAAAUAGUAUUUAACUGUAUUUGACCGUCUCCGGAUUAGCAUUAGCCUCUGCUCCUCAUUAGCCGCCAGAUGAUGUCCCAACCACGCCACCCCUCCACAUACCCCUAGCACCCAACUUAGGCUGGGGACCAUCCGCCACCAGCUACCCUAGUGGGACAGGAAGUCAGCCACCACCAUCUGACCUCCCGGUCUAUGGAUCAUCUUGAGCUUAUAAGCGUACUGGCCCAGUUUCUUCCCCGGUCACCUCUCUCUCAAGCGCAGCUGUUCCUUGAGAGCAAUGAUUGACGUUGCCUCUUCGAAAUUCGCUUGGCCAGCGUUGAACUGAGGCUUUGGAAAGACGGAUUCUCAUCACCACCGAUGUCCACGAUGUGCCUGCAAAUCCUUGCCCUCCAGGGAUAGUCUUUCCACUGAAAGAGGAAACAAGAACUGUAAAUGGAUGUUCUACUGUAUG